CCCUCGUGGUGUCUGACCAUUCUGAGCACUGAGAGUAUUUUCAAGCAUAUUGGAAGUGACAGUGUUCUGAUAGCUGCUGUACUGAACAUUGGCCCAAUCAUUGAGUGUUAAUCCAGUUUUUCUCCUGUAUUUAUUGACCAUUAAUGAAUCAGGACUUAUUCUUCACAGGCAGUGAUUGAGCUAAAGCUGUGGCUGGGAUACAACCAGGAGCAAUGCUCAGAAAGAGAAGAAUCUACAGCAUUAGCAGGACAUGAGAUGUACCCUGAGGUUCUGGAUAGUUAUGUCCCUUGAGCUGCAGCUGAAGAAGGAAAGAUGGGGAGCGGGAAGGAAAAGUCCCCAGUGAAAAUCAUGGACAGAAGAUGCUUCCAGGUUUUUCUUCUGUGGUGCUGAGGGACUGUCACCCUGGUACAUCAGCUUGCUGUGCCUCAGAGAGCACUUUGCUGCUAUAAGCAUGGCUCAAGGUCUUUCUAAACACAGUCCCAUUGUCAAUGCCCACUCUAAGACCUAUUCGAAUUAACUGAGCUCCUCAGCUGAAGAUGAGCUGCUUGAGCUGAUGCCUUUGCAAACCCCAUCAGCUGCAGAAGAUGCUGAUAAGAAAAAGGGUCACAGGAGGUUCUCAUGAGUGUCUAGUGACCACAUGUGUUCUCCAGCCUGCUGAAAGUUACAGAGAGCUUUGAAUGGGAAAAACAAAAAUGUGAUGCAGCUGAAACUUCUUUCACGCCCUGAUCCCCAAACAGAGCACCACGCAAUGUCACAGUGGCCUGCUUCAAUCUUUUUCUUUCAAAUGACUUUUUUUUAAAGCAUGUGUGGUGUGGAGAA